rnacentral:rRNA from 1 species
AUGCACCAUAUCGUUGCUAAACUGCAAAAAUGCAUACCCCUUUUCGUUCUCCUCUGGCUGCAUAGGUGCAACAGCACGUGCCCCCGCCCGCUGAAAACAAAUUGCCCCCCUGACUCCCAGCCACCACGCAUCAACGCCGGGAAGCCGUCGCAUCGACGCCGUCUUGCAGUGUCCGGUGUGCCGCAUCGCGACACUAGCAGCACCACAAAAAGUCGAUGUUGCAUCGACGCACCAGAUGCUCCUAUAGCGUCGCGCCUCGCCUCCCCAGCGUGCUGUGUUGCAACACCGACGUCGAGCAGCCGGCGGCGAGCACCGACAUCGAGCUGCGGGCGCCUCCGACAACUACACCUCCCUGAUGCGUUGCAGCACCGACGUCGAGCAGCCGGCGGCGAGCUGCGUCGAAGCACCGGUGUCGAGCUGCGGGCGUCUCCGGCAACUGCGCCUCUCUACUACGUUGCAGCACCACGGCGCGAAAAAAGCUCCGACGCAGCACCGUCAGCGUCCCGGCGAAGCUCCAUUGCGGCCCCCGUUGUGGUCCAUUAUAACCGCAGCGUAGCUCCAUUGCAGCCACCGGCGCACGACGUUUCCACGAAGAUCCAUUGCAGCCCCGGUCGCGCUCCACUGCAGCCAACGUGGAGCUCCAUUGCGGAAACCAGCGAGCGGCGUUCUGACGAAACUCCAUUGCAGCCCCGACCACGGUCCACUGCAGCCGCGGCGGAGCUCCAUUGUAGCCCCACGGCACGCUCCAUUGCAACGCGGCCGACGGCGGCGGGAGCUGCGAUGCAGCUCCGGUGGGGCUUCAAUUCAACCACGUCAAAAGCUUCAACAACCUUGCUCCAUUUGCGGCCGCCGUGCCGGGCGCUACGACGCAAUGCACACGAUGACGGCGGAAGCCGUGAUGCAGCUACGGUGACGCCUCAACACAGCCACGGCAGAGCUUCGACAACCUCGCUUGCGCUCCCCUGCAGCCCCGGCGGCAUGAGGAUGAAUCAGGCUGCUCCCCUGCGGUGGGUGGGGCCUGCCAGUAUGUUUCAUCUCAUCCAACCACCUCAUCCCGUACAUGCUUUCCGUAAAUCAGUGCCCGUAAGUGUAGCAUUGUUGGAGAAGAUAAGGCUGGAGGGAGAAGAUAAGGUGGGAGCGGUGGGCGGGACACGUGUCGCGCAGACGACGGGGCUUACGACGGGGAGAAAUCAGUCGAUUGAAAAUAAACGUUUUCCUUUUAUUAAUGCAUGGAUGCUUCUUUGCAUGUCGGCGGGCCGCAACUACCUCAUGGCCCGGCCCGUACAAAACGCUUGGAUGGAUCAGUCAGUUACGGCCCGUAACUCACCACGUAUAAAUACACCGAUAACGAGGAGGGGCAUGGAUCUCACCUCCUGUCGUCUGCCUGCCGCCGUCGUGCUUCCUUCCUUCUCCGUACAUCAGUCCGGACUAGCUACCGGCCGGCCAUCUCUCUCAUCCAGCAUUUCCAAUUUCUCAAUGGGAUUUGGGGCUCCAUUGAUCCAAAGGCUUUUUUCGAAUGAUCCAAUGGAUUCUUGUGACCUGGAAACAGAGCCGUCCCCCCUAAGCACAGUAGAUAUCUUAUUCUACUCACCAAUUAAUGUCGAUCGGGUUUCUUCUUCAACAGGAAAUAUAGAUGGAUUAAUGGGCAAAUUGCAGAACCCACCAUCACCAUAUCAAGAUCAUUCACUAGAUCAUUGCAAGGUUUCAGGAAUCAUGAUGGGGGAGCCCAGCGACAGAGCUUCCUCUCGGCCAGAAUCACUCUCGGAUCUUUUUCAAGCCCCUCCACGAGAGGAGUGGAGGGUGCAGAUUGUUAAGGUUGCAGAAUACAUACCCAAGGUUCAAGGCGAGCCAAAGCGAACAUUGUGGCGGCUAAGUACUUCAAAUAAGUGCAAAUAUUGGGGUCCUAAGGGACCAGCCGGGGUGCCCCUCGACCCUCCUGCAAAUAUUGUUGAAUCUGCCCCACCAGAGGAGCUGGAGCCGGCUACUGAGGUUACCGCGCCAUCAUCAUCGGAAGAAGAACAGGCCGAUAGAUGCAAUGCAAGGAGGAAAAGAAUGCGUUCAAUCCAUUCCAACGACAUGUUCAAGUACCGUGGGUGCUCGUGGCCGCAGGUGGUGGGUCUCAAAGUGCACAAGGCCAAGAGGAUCAUCAUGAAGGGCAAGCCGGACCUCUCUUGCGAAGUCGUCCUGGAGAACCAGCUGAUGACCAUGUGCUACUGCUCGAGGCGUGUUCGGGUCAUUGUAGACAGGCACAACAAUGUCGUGCAAACCCCUCGUGUGGGUUAA